rnacentral:lncRNA from 1 species
GUUACACUUUAUUACCAAGAGAGUAACACUGUUUAAUUGGUUAACACAACAAAUAAAGAGGUGGCAGUCUUAGCUCGCUUCUGAUUCGCUCACACGCCAAAUGGGUUGGAGAGAACAAAAUGCUUUCCUCCCUUCAUUUGGAAGUUGUGAUUCUGAUUAGCGAACAAAGGGCCACACACAGGAGACAAAAUGUGAAACAGAAGGAGGCUUCUAACUGAUAAGAACUGAGUUUAUUAGAAAGUCUCUUUUAAAGGCGUACAUAAUGAACCGAAAAUAACUCAAUUAAUUCCACAGUAAGAGGAAAGUCUUAUGAAAAAGAAAAAUCACCCUUCGUUGCAGGCGGCCUGGGAGACACGGGUUUACGAGGACUGUUGGAUUUCGAAUAAUUCACCUGUCAGCUUUGUGGAUUCUUGCCCCAGAUUUGCUCCUUUGCUUCUCUGGCUCAGUGGUUCCUACUCUGUCAACAAGUGCCUUCAAAGAUCUGCCUCCCAGAUGCCUCUAAGAUUGAAGAUUUUCAUCACAUUUAGAGCCGCUUCUCUACUACCUCUCACUUCUCAUUCACAUGCCUACCGAACCUACAUCGUCCCCUCCCUCGAACCUGUGGACCGUCGACCGGAGGUCGGGGAAAAUGGGUUAGCUUUCUCUUGGGUGGCAAAUUAUUUUUUAAUUAAUGCUGCUGCCGUUUUUCCCUCUCCCGGCCAAAUUAAUGCAACAAGAAUUGUGUUGGCAUCUGUGGCAGCAAAUGGAGAGGAAGAGCAGUUUCAAAGGAGAGGGUGACAGCUCCCCACCCCCCAAUCUGGGGAGGCUUUGGAGCAAGACACAAUUCACAUGCAGAGUGCCAGAACACGGCGAGUCUCCGCGUUGGAACUCGAGAGCUCCAGGAACACGUUUCCUCCACGACUGGUAGCAAUUCCUACUCUCUGUCACGCUGAGAGACUUUGAAGAAGAUUCUUUCUUGAGUUCCCUGCGGUCGGGCAUAGGGCCAGCUUAUGGGGAGCACAGGGUGGGGGGAUAAUUAAGCACCCUCAACACCUUGCCGUUCGUUUCCAGAAAGAACAGAGAUCGUCCACUCCUCACCCCAGCCCUUCCUUCCUUCCUUCCUUCCUUCCUUCCUUCCUUCCUUCCUUCCUUUCUCGGCCCAGCGCUUCAGAUCACCAUCCCCUAAGAAAGCCAGAUGGUUUCCUUUAAGAUUGGCUAAAAACCGUUUUUGGGGGACAAAUGCACACCAGUGUCCACGGUCCGUGCCAAGGGGAGCAAAUGGGGGCAUGAUAAGGCUCAUGGUCCAGUGCAAAGAUAACACUAGACUACGAGCAGAUCCUAUCAGACUGUACAUUAUCUUUAGCAUACAGACCGAUAUUUACAUGUUAUAUACCUACGCGCUGGGGCUUUUACCGGUUUUGUAUUUUUCAAAAAAAAAAAACCCUACUUUUUGUUUUUAGACAGACUUAUUAUUUGUUAUCUUUUGAUUUUCUCAAACAACAUAGGAAUGCAUUCUCCUUUUUAAAAAUUAAAACAUUGGGGCGCCUGGGUGGCGCAGUCGGUUAAGCGUCCGACUUCAGCCAGGUCACGAUCUCGCGGUCCGGGAGUUCGAGCCCCGCGUCGGGCUCUGGGCUGAUGGCUCGGAGCCUGGAGCCUGUUUCCGAUUCUGUGUCUCCCUCUCUCUCUCUGCCCCUCCCCCGUUCAUGCUCUGCCUCUCUCUGUCCCAAAAAAUAAAGAAACGUUGAAAAAAAAAAUUUUAAACA